rnacentral:rRNA from 1 species
GAUCCUGGCUCAGAACGAACGCUGGUGGCGUGUCUUAUACAUGCAAGUCGAGCGAGGCAGCAAUGCCGAGCGGCGAACGGGUGAGUAACGCGUAAGCAAUCUGCCCCAUAUCAGGAAAUACCCGUGCCAACGCGCGGUUAAUGUCCAGGAGAGUGGCCUUCCGCAUGGAGGGUUGACUAGAGAUUUAUCGGUAUGGGAUGAGCUUGCGUCCGAUUAGCUAGUUGGCGGGGCAACGGCCCACCAAGGCGACGAUCGGUAGCCGGCCUGAGAGGGUGAUCGGCCACAUUGGGACUGAGAUACGGCCCAGACUCCUACGGGAGGCAGCAGUAGGGAAUAUUGCACAAUGGGGGAAACCCUGAUGCAGCAACGCCACGUGUGGGAAGAAGCAUUUCGGUGUGUAAACCACUGUCAUGAGGGAAUAAGGCCCGCCUUCGGACGGACUUGAAUGUACCUUGAGAGGAAGCACCGGCAAACUUCGUGCCAGCCGCAGC